UGGGGAAUAUUGGACAAUGGGCGCAAGCCUGAUCCAGCCAUGCCGCGUGAGUGACGAAGGCCUUAGGGUUGUAAAGCUCUUUUGGCGGGGAAGAUAAUGACGGUACCCGCAGAAUAAGCUCCGGCUAACUUCGUGCCAGCAGCCGCGGUAAUACGAAGGGAGCUAGCGUUGUUCGGAAUCACUGGACGUAAAGCGCACGUAGGUGGGCAGUUAAGUCAGGGGUGAAAGCCCGAGGCUCAACCUCGGAAUUGCCUCUGAUACUGGCUGUCUAGAGUUCGAGAGAGGUGAGUGGAAUUCCUAGUGUAGAGGUGAAAUUCGUAGAUAUUAGGAAGAACACCGGUGGCGAAGGCGGCUCACUGGCUCGAUACUGACACUGAGGUGCGAAAGCGUGGGGAGCAAACAGGAUUAGAUACCCUUGUAGUCCCUGAGCGGGCUGGCAAGGCGCAU
rnacentral:rRNA from 1 species